rnacentral:misc_RNA from 1 species
UACAGAAGCCCCGAGCGUUACCCGGAUUUACUGGGCGUAAAGGAUGCGUAGGUGGUCAUAUUAGUCUUAUGUUAAAACUCUGGGCUCAACCCAGAGAUCGCGUAGGAAACGGUAUGACUCGAGGAUGUGAGGGGUGACCGGAACUCUCGGUGUAGGGGUGAAAUCCGUUGAUAUCGAGGGGAACACCAAAAGCGAAGGCAGGUCACUGGCGCAUUCCUGACACUGAAGCAUGAAAGCGUGGGUAGCGAACGGG